UACGUAGGUGGCAAGCGUUGUCCGGAUUUAUUGGGUUUAAAGGGUGCGUAGGCGGUUUCAUAAGUCAGUGGUGAAAAUACGGCAGCUUAACUGUCGAGGUGCCAUUGAUACUGUGGAACUUGAGUACAGACGAGGUAGGCGGAAUUGACGGUGUAGCGGUGAAAUGCUUAGAUAUCGUCAAGAACACCGAUAGCGAAGGCAGCUUACUAGACUGUAACUGACGCUGAGGCACGAAAGUGUGGGGAUCAAACAGG
rnacentral:rRNA from 1 species